rnacentral:misc_RNA from 1 species
GGUGUACUAAACUCUCGCUAUGCACAAGGACCAAAUAAUAUCGAGAGUUGUUUCUAUGAUUGGGGUUUGAACCAUGACAUUCUAGUCACAUAACUACAACUUUACUAUUGCGCCAAGACAACAUUGUCCUAAGCACAUUAUGACAAAAACGGAAAUAACUUCCUCCGGCAGAAGUUGAAAAAGGGCAGGCAACAUGGGAGAGAUCAUUAGCCCUCCAUUCUA